rnacentral:tRNA from 1 species
GGUUAUGGUUCAGCGGUAGAGUGCUUGCCUCUCACAUGCAAGGCCCUGGGUUCAAUCCUCAGCACCA